UACGUAGGGUGCAAGCGUUAAUCGGAAUUACUGGGCGUAAAGCGUGCGCAGGCGGUGAUGUAAGACAGGUGUGAAAUCCCCGGGCUUAACCUGGGAACUGCAUUUGUGACUGCAUCGCUGGAGUGCGGCAGAGGGGGAUGGAAUUCCGCGUGUAGCAGUGAAAUGCGUAGAUAUGCGGAGGAACACCGAUGGCGAAGGCAAUCCCCUGGGCCUGCACUGACGCUCACGCACGAAAGCGUGGGGAGCAAACAGG
rnacentral:rRNA from 1 species